UUCCGGUUGAUCCUGCCGGAGGCGACCGCUUUUGGAGUUCGAUUAAGCCAUGCGAGUAGAAUGAAUUAGAUCAUUGCGAACUGCUCAGUAACACGUGGAUAACCUGCCCUAUGCUCUGGGAUAACCUUGGGAAACUGAGAAUAAUACCGGAUAGAUCACAACGCCUGGAACGGUGUGUGGUUGAAAGGUCACGGCAUAGGAUGGGUCUGCGGCGUAUCAGGUCGUAGGGGGUGUAACGGACCUCCUAGCCAUCGACGCGUACGGGUUGUGGGAGCAAUAGCCCGGAGAUGGAUUCUGAGACGCGAAUCCAGACCCUACGGGGUGCAGCAGGCGCGAAAACUUCACACCGCAGGAAACUGUGAUGAGGGAACUCCAAGUGACUACACAUUUGUGUAGCUCUUUUCUUAACUAUUAAUCGGUUUGGGAAUAAGGGCUGGGAAAGACCGGUGCCAGCCGCCGCGGUAAUACCGGCAGCUCAAGUGGUCGUCGCUUUUAUUGGGCCUAAAACGUCCGUAGCCUGUUUGGUAAAUCUGUGGGUAAAUCAACCAGCUUAACUGGUUGAAUUCUGCAGAGACUGCCAGACUAGGGACCGGGAGAGGUGUGGGGUACUCUAGGGGUAGGGGUAAAAUCCUGUCAUCCUUUAGAGGACCACCAGUUGCGAAGGCGCCACACUGGAACGGAUCCGACGGUCAGGGACGAAGCCUAGGGGCACGAACCGGAUUAGAUACCCGGGUAGUCCUAGGUGUAAACGCUGUGAACUUGGUGUCGGGGAUCCGUCAUGGGUCCCCGGUGCCGGAGUGAAGAUGUUAAGUUCACUGCCUGGGGAGUACGGUCGCAAGGCUGAAACUUAAAGGAAUUGGCGGGGGAGCACUGCAACGGGAGGAGCGUGCGGUUUAAUUGGAUUCAACGCCGGA
rnacentral:rRNA from 1 species